UUUUUUCUCCCCGGGGACAAAAUCACGCAAAGUCUCGCGUGAUUUCCAGAGUAGCGCUCGAAUGUAGCAUCGUGAGCUAACACUUUCUCUCGACCGUUAGCUGCCGUUAAAUCUCAAUGCCUCCGAAAACACACGUUUAGCGCGGUGUACUGACACCGAGGGGCACCUCCGGGUGUAUAUCUGAUGGGGAGCGGCCCGGUAAUCCCGACACCCGGGCCUCUUCUGAAGGCGCGAGUUGCGUCCGGUAACGGUUGCUAACCGCUAAGCUAACCGCUAAGCUAACGUCGCUAGGUUGCUACAUCCGCUUCCACUCCGCUCCGCACAGCAACCAGGAAGGAGGGAGCAGACGAGCAGGCGAGCUUGGCCCUCAAAUCGGUUGCUCCACUUCUGCGGACUAUUAAUUCAUAAAAAAAAAAAGGAAAAAAAAAGGAGCCUCGUCCGUGUGUUUUGUGAAAACGAGGAGCAGUUUGUAUAAUGUGUUUGUUUUCCAUUUGAUGGGCAACGCUCUGUUUCACAUCAACCCACAAAACCAGCCCGGCUACCACAACUAGAGCCCAGUCGUGCAUCAAACUACACCAGAACACACAG